rnacentral:rRNA from 1 species
CACGUAGGGCGCAAGCGUUGUCCGGAAUUAUUGGGCGUAAAGAGCUCGUAGGCGGUCUGUUGCGUCCGCUGUGAAAACUCGGGGCUUAACCCCGAGCCUGCAGUGGAUACGGGCAGACUAGAGGUAGGUAGGGGAGAAUGGAAUUCCCGGUGUAGCGGUGAAAUGCGCAGAUAUCGGGAGGAACACCAGUGGCGAAGGCGGUGUGCUGGGUUGCAACUGACGCUGAGAUGCGAAAGUGUGGGGAGCAAACGGG